rnacentral:rRNA from 1 species
GAUCAUGGCUCAGGAUGAACGCUAGCUACAGGCUUAACACAUGCAAGUCGAGGGGAAACGACAUCGAAAGCUUGCUUUUGAUGGGCGUCGACCGGCGCACGGGUGAGUAACGCGUAUCCAACCUGCCCACCACUUGGGGAUAACCUUGCGAAAGUAAGACUAAUACCCGAUGAUAUCCCUAGAAGACAUCUGAAAGGGAUUAAAGAUUUAUCGGUGAUGGAUGGGGAUGCGUCUGAUUAGCUUGUUGGCGGGUAACGGCCCACCAAGGCAACGAUCAGUAGGGGUUCUGAGAGGAAGGUCCCCCACAUUGGAACUGAGACACGGUCCAAACUCCUACGGGAGGCAGCAGUGAGGAAUAUUGGUCAAUGGGCGAGAGCCUGAACCAGCCAAGUAGCGUGCAGGACGACGGCCCUAUGGGUUGUAAACUGCUUUUAUAAGGGAAUAAAGUGAGUCUCGUGAGACUUUUUGCAUGUACCUUAUGAAUAAGGACCGGCUAAUUCCGUG